CGACUACGAGUUUGAUCCUGGCUCAGGAUGAACGCUAGCGGCAGGCUUAAUACAUGCAAGUCAAGGGGGUAGCAAUACAACCGGCGCACGGGUGAGUAACGCGUACACAACAUACCAUAUACUGGAGUAUAGCUUUGGGAAACUGAAGGUAAUCCUCCAUAACAUUGCGAGAGGGCAUCUGAUUGCAAUUAAAGUUUCGGCGGUAUAUGAUUGGUGUGCGUUUGAUUAGCUAGUUGGUAGGGUAACGGCCUACCAAGGCGACGAUCAAUAGCUGGCGUGAGAGCGCGACCAGCCACACUGGAACUGAGACACGGUCCAGACUCCUACGGGAGGCAGCAGUAGGGAAUAUUGGACGAUGGAGGAAACUCUGAUCCAGCCAUGCCGCGUGAUAGAUGAAGGCCCUCUGGGUUGUAAAUAUCUUUUAUCUGGGAAGAAACACUCCUAUUCUUAGGAACUUGACGGUACCAGAGGAAUAAGCACCGGCUAACUCCGUG
rnacentral:rRNA from 1 species